rnacentral:rRNA from 1 species
AAGUCCCCUUCGGGGGGCAAGUAGAGUGGCGCACGGGUGAGUAACACGUAGGUAAUCUACCUUUGGAUUGGGAAUAACAACCGGAAACGGUUGCUAAUACCGAAUAAUGCAGCGGCACCUAAUGGUGACAGUUGUUAAAGCGGGGGAUCGAAAGACCUCGCGUCUGAAGAGGAGCCUGCGGCAGAUUAGCUAGUUGGUAAGGUAACGGCUUACCAAGGCGAUGAUCUGUAGCCGGCCUGAGAGGGCGGUCGGCCACACUGACACUGACAUACGGGUCAGACUCCUACGGGAGGCAGCAGUCGGGAAUUUUGGGCAAUGGGCGAAAGCCUGACCCAGCAACGCCGCGUGAAGGAUGAAAUCCUUCGGGAUGUAAACUUCGCAAGAACGGGAAGAAUAAGUAAGAGUUAAUAUCUCUUACGAUGACGGUACUGUUUGUAAGCUCCGGCUAACUCCGUGCCAGCAGCCGCGGUAAUACGGGGGGAGCAAGCGUUGUUCGGAUUUACUGGGCGUAAAGGGCGCGUAGGCGGCCACCGCAAGUCGACUGUGAAAUCUCCGGGCUUAACCCGGAAAGGUCAGCCGAUACUGCGGGGCUAGAGUGCAGAAGGGGCAACUGGAAUUCUCGGUGUAGCGGUGAAAUGCGUAGAUAUCGAGAGGAACACCUGCGGCGAAGGCGGGUUGCUGGGCUGACACUGACGCUGAGGCGCGAAAGCUAGGGGAGCGAACGGGAUUAGAUACCCCCGGUAGUCCUAGCCUUAAACG